AGGCAAUGAGGAGAACUAUAUGUGUACGACUUGUACAUGAGUUAAAUUAUACGCUAUUCUGAGCCUUUU